AGUGAACGCUGGCGGUAGGCCUAACACAUGCAAGUCGAACGGCAGCACAGUAAGAGCUUGCUCUUACGGGUGGCGAGUGGCGGACGGGUGAGGAAUACAUCGGAAUCUACUUUUUCGUGGGGGAUAACGUAGGGAAACUUACGCUAAUACCGCAUACGACCUACGGGUGAAAGCAGGGGAUCUUCGGACCUUGCGCGAUUGAAUGAGCCGAUGUCGGAUUAGCUAGUUGGCGGGGUAAAGGCCCACCAAGGCGACGAUCCGUAGCUGGUCUGAGAGGCAGAACAGCCACACUGGAACUGGGACACGGUCCAGACUCCUACGGGAGGAAGCAGUGGGGAAUUUUGGACAAUGGGGGCAAGCCUGAUCCAGCCAUGCCGCGUGAGGGAAGAAGGCCUUCGGGUUGUAAAGCCCUUUUGUUGGGGAAGAAAAGGUAGAGGUUAAUACCCCGCGGUUCUGACGGUACCCGAAGAAUAAGCACCGGCUAACUUCGUG
rnacentral:rRNA from 1 species